rnacentral:misc_RNA from 1 species
UUUCCGUAGGUGAACCUGCGGAAGGAUCAUUAGUGAAUUGAAUAUGUUAGCGGACCUCUUCGGAGUCCCUAGCAUCAAAUCAUAUCCAUAACACCUGUGAACUGUAAGUCUGUCUUGAAAACGUAAGUGAUUAGAGCGCCUGCCCAUUUUAUACAAACAUUAAAGUAACAGACAUAGUCUUAUUAUAAACUAAUAAAACUUUCAACAACGGAUCUCUUGGCUCUA